rnacentral:rRNA from 1 species
CCUACGGGAGGCAGCAGUGGGGAAUAUUGCGCAAUGGGCGAAAGCCUGACGCAGCGACGCCGCGUGAGGGAUGAAGGUCUUCGGAGCGGAAACCUCUGUCAGCAGGGAAGAACGGUCACGGUGCUAAUCAGCAGUGAAUUGACGGUACCGGCAAAGGAAGCACCGGCUAACUCCGUGCCAGCAGCCGCGGUAAGACGGAGGGUGCGAGCGUUCAUCGGACUUACUGGGCGGAAAGCGCGCGUAGGCGGUAGGUCAAGUCAAGGGUGAAAUCCCCGCGCCCCACGUGGGAACUGCCUUUGAACCUGGCAAACUUGAGUGUUUGUGAGGCUAGUGGAAUUCCCGUUGUA